GACGAACGCUGGCGGCGUGCCUAAUACAUGCAAGUCGAACGCUUCCUACCGGUGCUUGCACCGGGAAAGAAGAGUGGCGGACGGAUGAGUAACGCGUGGGUAACCUACCUACAAGCGGGGGAUAACAUUCGGAAACGGAUGCUAAUACCGCAUAGAUCUUUUUGUCUCCUGGCAGAAAGAAGAAAGACGGUUUCGGCUGUCACUUGUAGAUGGACCCGCGGCGCAUUAGUUAGUUGGUGAGGUAAUGGCUCCAAGACGAUGAUGCGUAGCCGACCUGAGAGGGUGAUCGGCCACACUGGGACUGAGACACGGCCCAGACUCCUACGGGAGGCAGCAGUAGGGAAUCUUCCGCAAUGGACGAAAGUCUGACGGAGCGACGCCGCGUGAGUGAAGAAGGUUUUCGGAUCGUAAAACUCUGUUGUUAGAGAAGAACAAGGAUGAGAGUAACUGCUCGUCCCUUGACGGUAUCUAACCAGAAAGCCAUGGCUAACUACGUGCCAGCCGCCGCGGUAA
rnacentral:rRNA from 1 species